GGACAGGUGGCCGAGCGGCUGAAGGCACCGGUUUGCUAAACCGACGUAGGGGUAUUACCUCUACCGCGGGUUCGAAUCCCGCCCUGUCCG
rnacentral:tRNA from 1 species